GGCUGAAAUUCGCCUUCAUGAAGCUGGAAUUGCUAGUAAUGGCAGGUCAGCAUACUGCCGUGAAUACGUUCCCGGGCCUUGUACACACCGCCCGUCACACCAUGAGAGUUGGAAAUACCCGAAGCCUGUGAGCUAACUUAAAGAGGCAGCAGUCGAAGGUAGAGCCAAUGAUUGGGGUGAAGUCGUAACAAGGUACC
rnacentral:rRNA from 1 species